rnacentral:misc_RNA from 1 species
GAUGAAGAACGCAGCGAAAUGCGAUAAGUAAUGUGAAUUGCAGAAUUCAGUGAAUCAUCGAAUCUUUGAACGCACAUUGCGCCCCUUGGUAUUCCGGGGGGCAUGCCUGUUCGAGCGUCAUUAUAACCCCUCAAGCUCAGCUUGGUGUUGGGGCCUGCCAACUGGCAGCCCUUAAAAUCAGUGGCGGCGCCAUCUGGCUCUAAGCGUAGUAAUUUCUCUCGCUAUAGGGUCCCGGUGGAUGCUUGCCAACAACCCCCAAUUUUCUAUGGUUGACCUCGGAUCAGGUAGGGGUACCCGCUGAACUUAAGCAUAUCAAUAAGCGGAGGA